rnacentral:rRNA from 1 species
UAAACGGACAGAGCCCGUGAAUCCGGGCGUCAGUGUUCAGGAGCGACGAGGUGCGUUCGCGCGCGCCUCGUCGUUUUGAUAUUUCUGGCGCCGAGCAAAUAAAUAACGGACGUCGCGACCCGUUUGGCGUCGGUCUUAGGAGAUCUCGCGUUUCACGUUCGUUUCGCGCGUUUUUUGCGCGCUCUUCCAGUCUCGCGGCUGGGGGGACGCGUGAAAGCGUCGUUACGAGUACGCGAUCUAAAUACCGGCUGACUCGCCAGACGGUACGCUCGAUGGGUGGCCGGUGUCGCCGCGCGCGACAUCGGUGCCGGUCUGCGACGAAUCUUC